rnacentral:sRNA from 1 species
UCGAAGCGAUGAACCAACGCCUCGAGCCC